rnacentral:rRNA from 1 species
CCUACGGGUGGCAGCAGUGAGGAAUAUUGGUCAAUGGGCGCGAGCCUGAACCAGCCAAGUAGCGUGAAGGAUGACUGCCCUACGGGUUGUAAACUUCUUUUAUAAAGGAAUAAAGUGAGGCACGUGUGCCUUUUUGUAUGUACUUUAUGAAUAAGGAUCGGCUAACUCCGUGCCAGCAGCCGCGGUAAUACGGAGGAUCCGAGCGUUAUCCGGAGUUAUUGGGUUUAAAGGGAGCGUAGAUGGGUUGUUAAGUCAGUUGUGAAAGUUUGCGGAUCAACCGUAUGACUGCAAUUGAUACUGGCAGACGUGAGGAAUGGUGAGGGAGGAGGAAUGCGUAGGG